rnacentral:rRNA from 1 species
CCUACGGGAGGCAGCAGUGAGGAAUAUUGGUCAAUGGGCUUACGCCUGAACCAGCCAAGUCGCGUGAGGGAAGACUGCCCUAUGGGUUGUAAACCUCUUUUGUCAGGGAGCAACGCCGGCUACGUGUAGCCGGACUGAGAGUACCUGAAGAAAAAGCAUCGGCUAACUCCGUGCAAGCAGCCGCGGUAAGACGGGUGAUGCGAGCGUUAUCCGGAUUUAUUGGGUUUAAAGGGUGCGUAGGCGGAAUGCCAAGUCAGCGGUAAAAUCGCGGGGCUCAACCUCGCUCCGCCGUUGAAACUGGCGUUCUUGAGUGGGCUAGAAGUAUGCGGAAUUCGUGGUGUAGCGGUGAAAUGCAUAGAUAUCACGCAGAACUCCGAUUGCGAAGGCAGCAUACCGGCGCCCAACUGACGCUGAAGCACGAAAGCGUGGGUAUCGAACAGGAUUAGAUACCCGGGUAGUC